AUUGAACGCUGGCGGAAUGCUUUACACAUGCAAGUCGAACGGUAGAGGGGGCAACCCCUCGAGAGUGGCGAACGGGUGAGUAAUAUAUCGGAACGUGCCCAGUCGUGGGGGAUAACGUAGCGAAAGUUACGCAAAUACCGCAUACGAUCUAAGGAUGAAAGCGGGGGAUCGCAAGACCUCGCGCGAUGGAGCGGCCGAUAUCUGAUUAGCUAGUUGGUGGGGUAAAGGCUCACCAAGCCAACGAUCUGUAGCUGGUCUGAGAGGACGACCAGCCACACUGGAACUGAGACACGGUCCAGACUCCUACGGGAGGCAGCAGUGGGGAAUUUUGGACAAUGGACGCAAGUCUGAUCCAGCCAUUCCGCGUGCAGGAUGAAGGCCCUCGGGUUGUAAUCUGCUUUUGUACGGAACGAAAAGGUCUCUCUUAAUACGGGGGACUCAUGACGGUACCGUAAGAAUAAGCACCGGCUAACUACGUGCCAGCCGCCGCGGUAA
rnacentral:rRNA from 1 species